AAUGUCAGUAUGGCGGAGCGAAGAGAAUGCGCAGCAAAACUUAAACAAACACAGAUGUGUUUUUAUGUAGACUGAUAGUUUUACAGUAAAAUAUAAUUAGAACGAACUUCUUUCAAUUCUAUAGCGACACUGAAGGUUUUUGGAUGAUUCCAAGAAGCAUCAAAGAGAAAAUCGAAUGGCUAUGCUAGAGGCCAGAAGGGGAAGAGCAGCUGGGGAGAAGAGGACGGUGAGAAGUACAAACUUAAAGCUUGGAAAAGGCCUGAUUCCUAAACAGCAUGACACUGAUGGAUGUUUGGCUACCUAACCAUGAAACCCGCCAUCUUGACAGCCUUGCCACAGGAAACCCCCGGGGAAAAAACGGCAUAAAGCACCACGAAAGGCAGGAGGGACCUUCAACCAUCAGCAGACCGCGCAUGGGGGCGGCGAGGGUUUUCAGAUGGAAACGUGUGGGUAUGUCGUGAAAAAGAAGCUGUGCUGGGUGAAAAGGCCUUGCCAGUCAUUUGGAUGGAGCUUUGCUGUCUUCCUGUGACAGGCCUGGUAGUUUCCUCACUAUUAAUGUGGUUGAAACAGGAAGCAGAACGGUGACAGAUGCACCUUGGUGCUCCUCUGCAGCAGAGCGAGCUUCAUUAGGCCGCUCCGCGCUGUCACCUUGAUUUCACACUCUUAUGUUCGACAAAAGCGGCUUUGACUGGCGUGUUAAGCUACAUGUUGGUGAUGACACAUUUAAAAAACCACAAUUUAGUAACUUCUGCAUUUGAAAAUCAUCUUUCAUAAAAGGCUACUGUACAUUUGAAUGAUUCGUGCUUCCUCUCUGUUUUAUAGUCUUCUAAGAAUUUAUUCUACUAGAAAUGCAAUCACUUCUGAAUUUUUGGGGAAAACCUUAUUGGUUAAGAUU